rnacentral:rRNA from 1 species
GAUGAACGCUGGCGGCGUGCCUAAUACAUGCAAGUCGAGCGAACGGACGAGACGCUUGCUUCUCUGAUGUUAGCGGCGGACGGGUGAGUAACACGUGGAUAACCUACUUAUCAGUCUGGGAUAACUUCGGGAAACCGGCGCUAAUACCGGAUAAUAUUUUGAACCGCAUGGUUCAAAAGUGAAAGACGGUCUUGCUGUAACUUAUAGAUGGAUCCGAGCUGCAUUAGCUAGUUGGUAAGGUAACGGCUUACCAAGGCAACGAUGCAUAGCCGACCUGAGAGGGUGAUCGGCCACACUAGAGCUGAGACACGGUCCAGACUCCUACGAGAGGCAGCAGUAGGGAAUCUUCCGCAAUGGGCGAGAGCCUUACGGAGCAGCGCGGCGUGAGUUAUGAAGGUCUUCGGAUCGUAAAACUCUGUUAUUAGGGAAGAACAUAUGUGUAAGUAGCUGUGCACAUCGUGACGGUACCUAAUCAGAAAGCCACGGCUAACUACGUG